CAGACAGCUCUUCUCUUAUAUGGGAGGACCAAGGAAGGUGCAUCAUAGACCUAAUCAGGUGAGGGCUAAACCUAUCCCUAAGGAUCCCAGCCAUGGAGAAGGGAGUUUGCCUCUAACUGCACAGCCCUAUCUUGGCUUCAGUCUGUUGGUUCUGCAGAGUGUGAUGAGAUUUUGAAAGUGUGGGACAGGAUGUCAGGAACUGGCAUUUAUAUUUGAACAUAUGCGUAAGGUAAAGGUAAAGGUACCCCUGACCGUUAGGUCCAGUUGCGGACGACUCUGGGGUUGCAUGCUCAUCUUGCUCUAUAGGCUGAAGGAGCCGGCGUUUGUCCGCAGACAGCUUCCGGGUCAUGUGGCCAGCAUGACUAAGCCACUUCCGGUGAACCAGAGCAGCGCACGGAAACGCCGUUUACCUUCCCGCCGGAGCGGUACCUAUUUAUCUACUUGCACUUUGACGUGCUUUCGAACUGCUAAGUUGGCAGGAGCAGGGACUGAACAACGGGAGCUCACCGUCGUGGGGAUUCGAACUGCCGACCUUCCGAUCGGCAAGCCCUAGGCUCUGUGGUUUAGACCACAGUGCCACCCGCGUCCCUGAACAUAUGGGUAGUGGGCUACUAAACUUGCAUGAAUAGCUGAGGAUUGCCUCCCUCCCUCCUCAAAAAGAUUAAGGAUUGCAUCCCUUACAUUAUGUAGCAUUUAUGGGAAAAGCUGAGAACUUGAUGGUAAUGUUGGCUUUCCCACCUUGCAAUAUAUGGCAUGAGUUUUUAAUUUUUUUAAAAAAACCUCUUAUUGUUUUGUUUCUACCUUUUCCAAACCGACAAGAAAUUCAGCACAACCUUCAUAUGGUGAGUUUUCUUUGGAGGAGAGAUGCCUGGAGUUGUGUGGCUUCAUUAUAAUAAUCUGUUCAGUUACAAAUCUGCUGAUUGGGCUGGUACCCUGAAGUAUAAAAACCAAGCAUGUUGUUUUUAUAUACCACAUUCGCAGCAAGAUGGGUUUUGCUGACCCCACCUGACCCUUGCAGUACUAAUGGGCUUCUAGUGCUCUGCAAUGCAAAAUUUUCUGCUCCCACAAAAGCUCUCUUGGCUCUGGAAAAGAGCACUGAGUUCAGAUCCCACCAUCCUUUCUGCAGGUGAGCGCGACCUUAUUCAUUCUAGACAGAAAUAUUCCUUAAUUAUAUUAUAAUAAAGAGACUUUUUGAAUACUUUGGCGGGGCAGCCCAGGAUGUCCAUACACACUGCCCAGGCCACUUUGGUGUUGCUAAUGCAGCAAAAACAACACAGGAGUCAGCAGUUACGAGUUACUGGUCUCUGCAGCUACAGCAGGCGCUGGGAUUCUCCAGUGGUUUGACUUCAGCCCCAGAGUGAAAGAAGCAUUUUGGUGUUCUUUUAACUGGCUCAUAUAACUCAUGGCAGCCUCUUUAAGCAAUUUCAUCCUGGCACAGGCAGUUGGUCUUCGAUCAGGAGCUCCUGUGUCCCACAUUCUUCUUGCUCUAGUUGACACCAUUGCCCAAGUCUCCCUGGCUUCCUAAGGUUAUCUACAUCAACCCUUUGUCUCCUGCUGUCUCAGCACAACAGAAACGCAGGGCCCAAGCUCAUGCUGAGAAGGGGAGGACCCUUUCUCUGCCUCUUUAGUGAGUGUCUCUCCAUCUGUAUGGGUGCUUGAUAUAGGCUUAUUCCAAGCAAAACCAUUACCUUGUGAUUGCAGAGAUUAGUGUUGUGAAAAAUAACUGAAUCUGUGCAAGGCAUUUGAACCCAAAAGACCAUUUGGUGUAGGAAGGUCCACAAGUAAGUUAGAUCAGUUCAUUUCCAUUCAUAACAAAGCCCUUUUUAUCCUCAUGUUACCCUUACCAGAUGGGUGACUUAAAUAACUGCAGUAAAGGUAAUUCAAUAGCCUCACUUGGCAGCUCACUAUGACCCUCCCUGCUUAUGGAAUUAUACAGAUUUUUUUUGUGGUUUUUUUAAGGUUACAUUUCCCGUGUUAGGUCUUCAUUUAACAGCUUCUUUAUCAUCUUUUUAUUUUUUGGUUGACUAAUGAGACUAAUUUGCAUCUAGUCUGGCAUCAUUUUCUUUUUCAGAUGCAAAAAGACUGACCCUCUUUAUUACAGCAUAACCCCAGUGCUUAUCUGUAAUUUCUGCUUAUCUGAAUUUAAACUGAAUACUUUAAUAAAUUUAACCCUGGAUUUGCUGGGCAGUAGCUGGGCUUUGGCCACCUCAUGAGAAGAGAAGACUCCCUAGAAAAGACCCUGAUGUUGGGAAAGAUGGAGGGCACAAGGAGAAGGGGACAACAGAGGACGAGAUGGUUGGACAGUGUUCUCGAAGCUACUAGCAUGAGUUUGACUAAACUGCGGAAGGCAGUGGAAGACAGAAGUGCCUGGCGUGCUCUGGUCCAUGGGGGUCACGAAGAGUCGGACAUGACUAAACAACUAAACAACAACAAAAACAGCUGGACUUGUGAGGAAGAACCCAAGCCCAGAUAUCAAGGGAGCACUUUCUAACACCCUAAGAUCAGUGUCCUGGAAGCUGGAGCCUGAAGUACAAUGAGCAGAAUAUCCAGGUGAUCGCCUGGGCGAUGGGCCAUUAAGUGAAACAAAGGAAAGUGGAUCUGUGCGAGAUUGCAGAUGUGUGGAGCCCCUUCCC